rnacentral:rRNA from 1 species
UGCAGUCGAACGCUUCUUUUUCCACCGGAGCUUGCUCCACCGGAAAAAGAGGAGUGGCGAACGGGUGAGUAACACGUGGGUAACCUGCCCAUCAGAAGGGGAUAACACUUGGAAACAGGUGCUAAUACCGUAUAACAAUCAAAACCGCAUGGUUUUGAUUUGAAAGGCGCUUUCGGGUGUCGCUGAUGGAUGGACCCGCGGUGCAUUAGCUAGUUGGUGAGGUAACGGCUCACCAAGGCCACGAUGCAUAGCCGACCUGAGAGGGUGAUCGGCCACAUUGGGACUGAGACACGGCCCAAACUCCUACGGGAGGCAGCAGUAGGGAAUCUUCGGCAAUGGACGAAAGUCUGACCGAGCAACGCCGCGUGAGUGAAGAAGGUUUUCGGAUCGUAAAACUCUGUUGUUAGAGAAGAACAAGGAUGAGAGUAACUGUUCAUCCCUUGACGGUAUCUAACCAGAAAGCCACGGCUAACUACGUGCCAGCAGCCGCGGUAAUACGUAGGUGGCAAGCGUUGUCCGGAUUUAUUGGGCGUAAAGCGAGCGCAGGCGGUUUCUUAAGUCUGAUGUGAAAGCCCCCGGCUCAACCGGGGAGGGUCAUUGGAAACUGGGAGACUUGAGUGCAGAAGAGGAGAGUGGAAUUCCAUGUGUAGCGGUGAAAUGCGUAGAUAUAUGGAGGAACACCAGUGGCGAAGGCGGCUCUCUGGUCUGUAACUGACGCUGAGGCUCGAAAGCGUGGGGAGCAAACAGGAUUAGAUACCCUGGUAGUCCACGCCGUAAACGAUGAGUGCUAAGUGUUGGAGGGUUUCCGCCCUUCAGUGCUGCAGCUAACGCAUUAAGCACUCCGCCUGGGGAGUACGACCGCAAGGUUGAACUCA